GGAGGCGUGGCAGAGUGGUCGAAUGCGCGUGACUCGAAAUCACGUAUACUCGAAAGAGUAUCGGAGGUUCGAAUCCUCCCGCUUCCG
rnacentral:tRNA from 1 species